GAUGAACGCUGGCGGCGUGCCUAAUACAUGCAAGUCGAGCGAACGGACGAGAAGCUUGCUUCUCUGAUGUUAGUGGCGGACGGGUGAGUAACACGUGGAUAACCUACCUAUAAGACUGGGAUAACUUCGGGAAACCGGAGCUAAUACCGGAUAAUAUUUUGAACCGCAUGGUUCAAAAGUAAAAGACGGUCUUGCUGUCACUUAUAGAUGGAUCCGCGCUGCAUUAGCUAGUUGGUAAGGUAACGGCUUACCAAGGCAACGAUGCAUAGCCGACCUGAGAGGGUGAUCGGCCACACUGGAACUGAGACACGGUCCAGACUCCUACGGGAGGCAGCAGUAGGGAAUCUUCCGCAAUGGGCGAAAGCCUGACGGAGCAACGCCGCGUGAGUGAUGAAGGUCUUCGGAUCGUAAAACUCUGUUAUUAGGGAAGAACAUAUGUGUAAGUAACUGUGCACAUCUUGACGGUACCUAAUCAGAAAGCCACGGCUAACUACGUG
rnacentral:rRNA from 1 species